AAUGAACGCUGGCGGCGCGCCUAAUACAUGCAAGUCGAGCGAGAAGACGUAGCAAUACGUUUGUAAAGCGGCGAACGGGUGAGGAAUACAUGGGUAACCUACCCUCGAGUGGGGGAUAACUAGCCGAAAGGUUAGCUAAUACCGCGUACGCUUCUUGGACUUCGGUUCAGGGAGGAAAGCGAUACCGUGGGUAUCGCGCUCUUGGAUGGGCUCAUGUCCUAUCAGCUUGUUGGGAGGUAACGGCUCACCAAGGCUUCGACGGGUAGCUGGUCUGAGAGGACGAUCAGCCACACUGGCACUGCGACACGGGCCAGACUCCUACGGGAGGCAGCAGUAAGGAAUAUUGCGCAAUGGGCGAAAGCCUGACGCAGCGACGCCGCGUGGGGGAUGAAGGUCUUCGGAUUGUAAACCCCUUUCGGGAGGGAAGAUGGAAUGGGGUAACCCAUUCGGACGGUACCUCCAGAAGCAGCCACGGCUAACUUCGUGCCAGCCGCCGCCGU
rnacentral:rRNA from 1 species